ACCACUGUCAGAGAAGUGAUACUAAUGGCGGACUACUGAUUGUUUGGGGACAUCCGAAAUCACUCAGGAUUGUGGUGACCAGUUGAACAGAGAUAUGCCAAAAGCAGGCAGUGAUUUAUAUCCCUGCAGAGAAUAAGGAUGAUUCAGAAGCUGAGCUGAGUCAUUGAAAAACAUUGAAAGAGAACACAUGAGAGCCGAAGAGAAUCUAGCAAUCUGAAUGUCCUCCACUCUCUAAAAGACGUUCAGAUGACCCCCAGAGAGUUGCCACUGGUUGUGCUGUGUCCACUCAGUCACCAGUCAGAACCUGCAGCCAGCAGCACCUGCUUACUACAAGGUGGUUGACCAUGGUCUGUGGACAAGAGAAGGAGUCUCGCCCUGUCACCAGGCUGGAGUGCGAUGGUGCAAUCUCUGCUCACUGCAACUUCCACCUCCCGGGUUCAAAUUUCUCCUGCCUCAGCCUCCUAAGUGGCUGGGACUACAGGUGCCUGCCGCCAUGCCUGGCUAAUUUUUUGUAUUUUAGUAGAGAUGGGGUUUAGGCUGGUCUCGAACUCCUGAGCUCAGGCAAUCUGCCCUCCUGAGCUCAGGCAAUCUGCCUGCCUGGGCCUCCCAAAGUGCUAGGAUUACAGGCAUGAGCCACCGCCCUCAGCCACUAUCUUAUUUUUUAGCCUAUCUGAAUUAAAAACAUAAAGUCUUCUCUAUGUAUGUUGAUGAUAAACUUUGGGUUUCAAGGAAAAGAGUCACUCAGGCAACUUCCAAGAAUGGGAGGGGAGAAGGGGUUGUUAUAGGAUACAGUGGAAAUAAAUCUGGGAGGAAUCUCAAUCAUGUUCCAAGAGCUUGCAGGGGCCCAGAGAAAUUCUCACAAUGAGGCCUCACAGGAAAAGCAAGAACACCGACAGCAGGAAAGCUUGGAGGCUAAGAGUUCCCUUGGAAGUUGAACUACUGCCUGAGAAUAUUAAAACAAAAACAGAAACACGUAAAUAGCCAGCCCUGAAACGAGCCUCUCAACUUCUGAUAGGUUAUAUUUACAUUUAUGUACUUUCCUAUCACAGUUUAUAAUCAAGCUAAGGCUAGUAGCCUUGAAUAUUUUUAGGGCUGCAAUUUGUACAUCAUCUAAGCUAACAGAUGAAAAGUGCAAGUGUAGUUGCCUAAGCACAGGUACAUUCGUUCAACAACAAAUCUUUACCUGAAUGUCCAUUGUAUGUCCGACGCUGUCCUGUAUCCUGGGGUGGCAGCCUGGGGACCUGAGAGGACUUUGAGUGGAGCUAAAGAAACAGAAAAUAACUUCAACUAAUAAAUGUCUUUUAAUAUCUCUUGCAAUGGAAA
rnacentral:lncRNA from 1 species